AUUGCCCUAGUAACGGCGAGUGAAGCGGCAACAGCUCAAAUUUGAAAUCUGGCGCAAGCCCGAGCUGUAAUUUGUAGAGGAUGCUUCUGGGCAGCGGCCGGUCUAAGUUUCUUGGAACAGGACGUCAUAGAGGGUGAGAAUCCCGUAUGUGACCGGCUGGCACCCUUCACGUAGCUCCUUCGACGAGUCGAGUUGUUUGGGAAUGCAGCUCUAAAUGGGAGGUAAAUUUCUUCUAAAGCUAAAUACCGGCCAGAGACCGAUAGCGCACAAGUAGAGUGAUCGAAAGAUGAAAAGCACUUUGGAAAGAGAGUUAAAAAGCACGUGAAAUUGUUGAAAGGGAAGCGCUUGCAACCAGACUUGUUGGCGGUGUUCCGCCGGUCUUCUGACCGGUCCACUCGCCGCCCGCAGGCCAGCGUCGUCUGGGGCCGCCGGAGAAAGGUGUCGGGAAUGUAGCUCCCCUCGGGGAGUGUUAUAGCCCUUCGCACAAUACGGCGCGCCCCGGGCGAGGUCCGCGCUUCGGCAAGGACGCUGGCGUAAUGGUCGUAAGCGGCCCGUCUUGAAACACGGACCAAGGAGUCGAUCAAUCGUGCGAGUGUUCGGGUGGAAAACCCUUGCGCGUAAUGAAAGUGAACGGAGGCGAGAACCCUUACGGGUGCAUCGUCGACCGAUCCUGAUGUCUUCGGAUGGAUUUGAGUAAAA
rnacentral:rRNA from 1 species